rnacentral:lncRNA from 1 species
GGCAGGCUCGGGGCGGCGCCGCCCAAGAAGGCGAGCUCGGCACGGCCCGGCCGCACCUCAAACCCCGGCCCGGCCGCCGCCGCCCGCCCCGCCGGGUUCCGGCCCUGGGCCGCACUACGCGUCCCGCCGUGCGGGGGGAGCCGCUCCCGCUUUCCCGCUCUGCCCGCGUCCCGACUCGGCGCGGCCGAGAGAACAGCCCGCGUCCCUCUUCUGUGCCGCUACAGAAGCCGAACGGCCGGCUUUCCUCUUCGUUUCGCCCUUUCCUUCAGGUCUCCUCGCCGCCCGCUCUGCCGCGUCCCCCCGCGAGCAGCCGGCAGUGGCACGGCCGGGCGGAGGGGGCGGCCGCAGCGGCGCCGUGUGUCAAUGUGUCCGUCCUUCACUCCUCCAUUGUCUGACGCCGCCAGUGCCGCCGCCGCGCCUGCCCUCCCGGAGCGCGCACCCACCCGACAGGUGGUGUGUAUGAUGGUUAUUGUAAUGAAUGCAUAUGUGAUCCUAAACACCUGAUGCUUUCUGCAGCUGUGAAGAGUGAGGUUAAUGCAAGAAAAUAACAAGGAUUUCUUUGGUUGAGUAUUAGUCACGUUCUAUUUUGAUAUACAACAAUUUUGGGGGGAUCAGGGUAGGGCAGAAGAAGCUGUUCUGUGCCUUGGAGAACAUGCUGUGAAAUGGCUGUAGGAUGUGAAAGAGAAAAAGGAGAUGCUGAACUCAUUUCACUGGUUUCAAGCUUUCUUCCAUUCUGUCAAGUGACUGUCACUUGUGCCUUGGCUUGCUUGAAUUCUGAUGAUUGUCCUCUCUUGCUCUCCUGCUGGCUCAGAGAUUGUAUACCCUCUCUCUGUGCCAGAUGAUCAGAAACUUGCUCUGGCCCACUUCAUUUUAUCUAGGGAAAAAUACAAGAACAAGUCAAACAAGUAUUCCCACAGCUUAUUCUCCUAGCUUCCAUCCUGCUGGGUCAUAGCUAAGGACCAUCUAAACACAGGGCGGUAUCUUUGUUUUUGCCUUUGUACUUGAUAGCCUGCAGUUGUGGGUUGUUAUGUUUUUUGGGUGUUAUUUUUAAUGUAUGUAAACUUUGCAUCUGCAGCAUCCUUUUAUAGUUGCAUGGAAAAAAAAAAGUAAAAAUUCCCUUUUAUUUGUUUUUAAACUGGUCACUUUUUGCCUUUUUUGUUUUCUUUUUUCCCCUGUCCUAGUUCCUCUUUUGAGAGUUUAUGGAAAAAAUUAUUCUCUAUUCAUCCUUGAUGGGCAGUCAUGGCUUGAAAGACAUGUAUCAUCCCACACCACUGGUUUUUUUUUGCUUUUUUUUUUUUGCCAACCUGAAGUGUGAAGUCUAUGUAGUCAUUCCUAUGUGAACUGUUUCACAUGGCUCUCAUGUCCGCUUUUAUAAAAUGGAUCCACUUUUUGCACAGCCUGUGCUGUGGGGAAUCUCCUUAAAGUAGGGCUGAUCCUAUGAGACAGAUCUCUGCUGAGUUCUGGACCUACUGACUCCAAUCCUGAUAAUGAUAUCCUGCCAAAG